AUUGAACGCUGGCGGCAUGCUUUACACAUGCAAGUCGAACGGUAACAGGCCUUCGGGUGCUGACGAGUGGCGAACGGGUGAGUAAUGCAUCGGAACGUGCCCAGAGGUGGGGGAUAACGCAGCGAAAGCUGUGCUAAUACCGCAUGUGAUCUGAGGAUGAAAGCGGGGGACCAGGCAGCAAUGUUUGGCCUCGCGCCUUUGGAGCGGCCGAUGUCAGAUUAGGUAGUUGGUGGGGUAAAGGCCUACCAAGCCGACGAUCUGUAGCUGGUCUGAGAGGAUGACCAGCCACACUGGGACUGAGACACGGCCCAGACUCCUACGGGAGGCAGCAGUGGGGAAUUUUGGACAAUGGGCGCAAGCCUGAUCCAGCAAUGCCGCGUGCGGGAAGAAGGCCUUCGGGUUGUAAACCGCUUUUGUACGGAACGAAAAGGCUCUGGCUAAUACCUGGGGCUGAUGACGGUACCGUAAGAAUAAGCACCGGCUAACUACGUG
rnacentral:rRNA from 1 species